rnacentral:rRNA from 1 species
GAUCCUGGCUCAGGACGAACGCUGGCGGCGCGCCUAACACAUGCAAGUCGAACGGCACCCCUCUCCGGAGGGAAGCGAGUGGCGAACGGCUGAGUAACACGUGGAGAACCUGCCCCCUCCCCCGGGAUAGCCGCCCGAAAGGACGGGUAAUACCGGAUACCCCGGGGUGCCGCAUGGCACCCCGGCUAAAGCCCCGACGGGAGGGGAUGGCUCCGCGGCCCAUCAGGUAGACGGCGGGGUGACGGCCCACCGUGCCGACAACGGGUAGCCGGGUUGAGAGACCGACCGGCCAGAUUGGGACUGAGACACGGCCCAGACUCCUACGGGAGGCAGCAGUGGGGAAUCUUGCGCAAUGGGGGGAACCCUGACGCAGCGACGCCGCGUGCGGGACGGAGGCCUUCGGGUCGUAAACCGCUUUCAGCAGGGAAGAGUCAAGACUGUACCUGCAGAAGAAGCCCCGGCUAACUACGUGCCAGCAGCCGCGGUAAUACGUAGGGGGCGAGCGUUAUCCGGAUUCAUUGGGCGUAAAGCGCGCGUAGGCGGCCCGGCAGGCCGGGGGUCGAAGCGGGGGGCUCAACCCCCCGAAGCCCCCGGAACCUCCGCGGCUUGGGUCCGGUAGGGGAGGGUGGAACACCCGGUGUAGCGGUGGAAUGCGCAGAUAUCGGGUGGAACACCGGUGGCGAAGGCGGCCCUCUGGGCCGAGACCGACGCUGAGGCGCGAAAGCUGGGGGAGCGAACAGGAUUAGAUACCCUGGUAGUCCCAGCCGUAAACGAUGGACGCUAGGUGUGGGGGGACGAUCCCCCCGUGCCGCAGCCAACGCAUUAAGCGUCCCGCCUGGGGAGUACGGCCGCAAGGCUAAAACUCAAAGAAAUUGACGGGGGC